rnacentral:lncRNA from 1 species
CCAUGGAACUCCAGUUGAGAAAAUAAGUGAAUCACAAUUGAUACAUUUUAUUGUCCAUAUGCUAUCUUACCAGAUUUCUGGCACUUUUUACUCAUCCUUUUUAUUCUUAAUCUGCAGUGAUUAAAGAACCUGCAGUUUCUGACAAUCAGCCCAAAGUACCAACUUUAGUCUGACUCCAGCAAAAUGAAGACACCCAAAUCAAAGAAGAAAAUUCAAGGAGUAAUUCAAAUUUUGUCCAUGAAAAUUCCCACCAGAAAUUGGGUGCAAGUUCUGUUGAUUUUUUACUUACCUGUCUGAUAGAUGUAAUAUUUGGGAGCCUUCCAGCACUCUUUUAGAAAAUGCACACCAAAUUGCUUCUCCUUUGACCAACCAUCUUGUGUCUUCCAGUGUGGCAUAGAGGAGUAGCAUAGGAGAAAGGGGAGUAAAAUUCUUCAUGACUGCUCCUCAGUAAAAGUGACUGGAGCCAUUGCAAAUGGUGGU